GUAUUUAGAGCUAAGAGCAUUCCUUUACCAUUUAAUGGAAGAACCCAUGUUAUAUAACAAUUCCUCUAUGAUUUGUUGAGCCCUUGUUUAAAUCCUGUAUCAUGAACUUUUCGUGUGGUAUGUUUUGUCUCCCCAAACAAGGCAAUAAACUUUUUGAGACAGAAACUAUAUUGUAAAUUUUUUUUGGAUCGCUAAAGUGCCUUAUAUAUCAUGUACAUUUGAAUGCUAUUUGCUCAUGUGAUUUGAAUUCCAACUCCUUGACCCACCUAAGGUCAAGGAGAAGAGAGAGAAAUGAUAUCAAAAGGGCAGGGGGAAGAAAUAAGGGUUCCUAAGCAGCUUGUACCUUACCCCCAACUUUCCAAAUGUAAUUGACAGCCAAAAAUCUAAAUCAAGAGCCCAGUUUUCUUAUUCAAAUUGUCUGUCACUCAUGAGCACUACUCACUGCACCAAAGGGAGCAUUUUAUUCUCAAACUAGCAAUAGAGGUUGAAAGUUAUUGUUUGUUUGUUAUUUUAGAAUUAAUGUAUUUUCAAUAUGGUACCAAAUAACUGUGUAAGGAGUGUAUUAGCCAGCUUAAUCAAUAAACUUCAGCAAGGAUCGGAUGUUGGGGACUGCACAGCAGCAAUUGAUCCACUGCAGAGCUUUCUGUGGUGCAGUGUGAGUGGGACACUGGAACAGCAUGUGUAAUAAUCUUAGCUGUUAUACUCUGAUGGGUCCUAUGAUGCUACGGAAUAUGUGAGUCUUUUCACACCUAUGAUUGGAGCCACGUGGAUCCUGAAUGCAGACCCGCUCUCAGUUCUUCCUGUUUCCACUGUUUCCAAACACACAGUGUUGUCGGGAUUAUGAGCAAAUUUAAGCCUAUGGUUUGAUGGUGAUGAAAUGAAGCAGGAUUUUACAAUUUGUUCAUAAUUGGUAUACACAGUGAACACUUAAAAAAUCAUGCUUUGCCAUCCUUUUCUUUUUGCCCAUGAGGAAUAGUUUCGAAAGAGUUCUUAAGAACUUGCUGUGAGUUACAUGUCUAGUGAGUGGCAGGGCAGGGGUGCUAACCUGGGUCUGUGGGACACUCCGGCGUCCAGCUUUAGUCCACUGCACGUAGUGUCUUUCUGCAACAUGCAGAUCUGAACAGAGGGUGGUAUUUGCACAUAUCCACGUAAGUGGGGACAUUUGAACAGUUAACUGUUUCCCCAGUGAGUUCUCUUAGCAACCAACCUUCCAGUGUUUGGUGUUUAUAGAUGGAAAAUGAAGCCAUAGCCCCAUGACAGAGCAGCAGGAGAGCAACAGUCCCCAAAGAAUAACUUCUCAUUUCUGUUAAUAAGGAGCCUAAUGGGUGGACGUUUAGUCAGCAUGCAUUUUCUCUCUUUGGUUGCAUUAAGAGCUGUGGUCUCUAUUUCUGCAUUUGUUUUCUCUAAAUGAGCAACUGAAACUAUUUCAUUAGAUCCAUAAACUCCUGGCAAACUAGUCUAUCUGGCCCAUUCUGCUUUUGCACCAAAAUUAUUACCUUAAACACUAAUGCAUACAUUGAACUAAUGUAUCUUUACUGUUUCUUCUCUCCAUAAAAUUCUACUGGUCUAAAAGUCCAUAUACCCUAAGCCUGGGCGACAGAGUGAGACUCUGUGUCAAAAAAGAACAAAAAGAAAAAGAAGAAACUCUAACCAGAUAAGAGAGACUACGUGGAUCCAAAGAAAUCCAUCGCCCUUCUGAAAAACACCCCUGAAACCAUGCCUUCUGGUGAUGUCCGCGGAGGACUUUGAGACACAACUACGAGUGUUUGAAUUCUGUCGCGAGGAAGUCUGAAUGGUAGGAGCCAGGUUUUCACAUUCUGGUCUUUAAUGCAUAGUGGCCAUUCAUUCCAUUAGGCUUCUUAUGUCAUGACAUAAUUUCAUCUCUGAAUGUUGGACCAUUUGGUGGACUUGGACAUUGUCAGUUCAUCAAACAGUUUUGAAUUUGUGGAAAGUUCUCAUUCUGAGAUUCUGAACAUUCAAAGAUUAAUCCGAUGUGGCAGGCUCAUUAGUGCCACCACCUGCCUGCAUGGUUUGCAAGAUAACAUCACUUCAUUGUUUGAUUUGAGCUAAAGAAGAUUAAUGAUCUGAACAAUGAUAAUUUAUCAAUAUUCUUCUAUGAAAUUCAACCAAAACCAUAGAUCUCGUUUCGUGAUGCAGAGUCUAAAAUAGUCAAUGGACUAUUUCUAGCCCAACAGUACACUGUAGACUAGAGUAAUAUGCUGAUUUAGUGAAACAGAAACCUGGAUCCAAAACCCACAAAGUACUCUUGGGGACCCUGGAAAAGCCUGCAUGGACCUCCUACAGUUCAAGUUCCA
rnacentral:lncRNA from 1 species